AAUCCCGUGAACCAUCGAGUCUUUGAACGCAAGUUGCGCCCGAAGCCGUCMCGCCGAGGGCACCUCUGCCUGGGCGUCACG
rnacentral:rRNA from 1 species